rnacentral:rRNA from 1 species
GACAGCAGUAGCCGCGGGAAAACAGAGGGUGCGAGCGUUAAUCGGAUUUACUGGGCGUAAAGCGUGCGUAGGCGGCUUCUUAAGUCGGAUGUGAAAUCCCUGAGCUUAACUUAGGAAUUGCAUUCGAUACUGGGAAGCUAGAGUAUGGGAGAGGAUGGUAGAAUUCCAGGUGUAGCGGUGAAAUGCGUAGAGAUCUGGAGGAAUACCGAUGGCGAAGGCAGCCAUCUGGCCUAAUACUGACGCUGAGGUACGAAAGCAUGGGGAGCAAACAGGAUUAGAUACCCGAGUAGUCCCUGUCUCUUAUAC